CAGUCGCCGCGGUAAUACGGAGGGUGCAAGCGUUAAUCGGAAUUACUGGGCGUAAAGCGUGCGUAGGCGGUUCGUUAAGUCUGUUGUGAAAGCCCCGGGCUCAACCUGGGAAUGGCAAUGGAUACUGGCGAGCUAGAGUGUGUCAGAGGAUGGUGUAAUUCCCGGUGUAGCGGUGAAAUGCGUAGAGAUCGGGAGGAACAUCAGUGGCGAAGGCGGCCAUCUGGGACAACACUGACGCUGAGGCACGAAAGCGUGGGGAGCAAACAGGAUUAGAUACCCGAGUAGUCCCUGUCUCUUAUAA
rnacentral:rRNA from 1 species